rnacentral:ncRNA from 1 species
AGCAAGGAUUAACUCCUGUACCUUUCGCAUAAUGGAUUAGCUAGAAACAAUUUCACAAAGAGAACUACAAGCCAAAUUCCCCGAAACCAGACGAGCUACCCAAAAACAGCUAAAAGAGCGCACCCAUCUAUGUGGCAAAAUAGUGGGAAGAUUUCUGGGUAGAGGUGAAAAGCCUAUCGAGCCUGGUGAUAGCUGGUUAUCCAAGACAGAAUCUUAGUUCGACCUUAAGCUUACCUACAGAACCACCUAAUCCCCCUGUAAGCUUAAUUGCUAGUCUAAAGAGGGACAGCUCUUUAGACACUAGGAAAAAACCUUACAGAGAGAGUAAAAACCCCAAUUACCAUAGUUGGCCUAAAAGCAGCCAUUAAUUAAGAAAGCGUUCAAGCUCAACAUCAACUACCCCAAAAAUACCAAACACAUAACUGAACUCCUCACACCACAUUGGAUUAAUCUAUCACUCUAUAGAAGCAAUAAUGCUAGUAUAAGUAACAUGAAUAUUUUCUCCACUGCAUAAGCUUAAAUCAGACCGAAAGCCUCACCGAUACUUAACAGCCCGGCAUAGCAAGCACAAACAAGUCCAUGCCACCUUCACUGUUAACCCAACACAGGCAUGCUUUAGGGAAAGGUUAAAAAAAGUAAAAGGAACUUGGCAAACUCAAACCCCGCCUGUUUACCAAAAACAUCACCUCUAGCAUUACUAGUAUUAGAGGCACUGCCUGCCCAGUGACACACGUUUAACGGCCGUGGUACCCUGACCGUGCAAAGGUAGCAUAAUCACUUGUUCUUUAAAUAGGGACUCGCAUGAAUGGCAUCACGAGGGUUUAACUGUCUCUUACUUUUAACCAGUGAAAUUG